GCCCUGGUAGCUCAGCUUGGAUAGAGCGCUUGACUUCUAAUCAAGAGGCCGCGGGUCCGAAUCCCGUCCAGGGCA
rnacentral:tRNA from 1 species